rnacentral:lncRNA from 1 species
GAAGUACUGAAGAUCCAGAUCUUUCUCCAAGUCAGCAUGACGUACUGGCCAGUCCUCGGGAAAAGGACACCACCAGUCACAGGGGAUACCCUUAUUGUGAUGAACGGGGAAGGUCAUUGGCCAAAAAACAUGUAUUCGCAGGUUUGAGAUACAUCUUUGUUCCUGUCAUACACUCACUGCGCAAUAGAUGGCUGAUCUUGCUGCUAUGACUGACAUCUUAACUGUGAGGUCAUUUCUAAAACCUUUUACCAAAAAGCUAAAAAGAAAAAAAAAUUAAAAUGCAGAAAAUUGGUUUGAAAUGAGACAGAAGUUCAUCCUUUUGGUCUGAAUUUAAAUGAUUCCAAAAACAUGCAUUCUGUUUUACAUUAUUAGCACACAGCUCAAUCCACUUGAAGGGGAAGAAGCUUCCCUUAACUCAAAGUAUGUGUCUUUCAACAAAAAGUGUAAACCAGCUGCAUCAAAAGGACUGGAGGUCAUCCUGGAGCUUACCUGCUGGGUAAAUAUUUGCAUCAUUAUCUCUAUCCAGUUUUUUUUUUUUAAAAAAAACCCUUUAUGCCAUCAUUACCAAAUUCUCCUGUGUGGAUGGUUACUGCUCAGCAUCACGGCAAUAGAGGACCACCAGAGACGCUCCUUACAAUCAGAUUUCGCCAUGCUGCCUAGAAAUCAACUCUUCCAAAAAACACAGUGUCCACCUCACACUGCUUCAAAGGCCAGGAGUCACAGAAGGUCCAGAGAGAAGAAGAAUGAAGAGGUCAGUCGCACCCUGGACAUGGCUAUUGAGGCUGCCUGGAGCAUGAAGCAGACAACAGAGCGAAUGGCCAGAAACCUGUCUGUGGACUUGGCCAAAGUGGAGCUGUACCAGAAGCUGCACGGUCUGGACCCACAUAGCAGUGGGACAAAUGAUAGCUGUUAGUAUCAUAAGAUCUUGCAUCUGCGAACUUCCUUAUGUCUUGAAAUCUUCCAGUAGACAUUUCAAGACCGAUUUCUCAGCAUAAAUAUAGCUGUGAUUUAAUUUUACCGUUUGUCCUAUUUAUAUUUAAAGAUAAUGUUAUUCAAAUGUAUAAUAAUUGCUUUUAGGGUUGGUCACCAUUCCAAAAACAUGCAUUUUUUUUUUCCAUUCUGUAAUGAUUUAAAAUGACUUUAUGAUAAUGAUCUUCAGUGGAUGUGGAUAUACUAUAAUCCAGUCUGUAGCUUGCAGAUAUGAAGGUAAACACGAGGUGGCACACAGGCAUCAGUCAUUACCCAUCUUGCAGGUCAUGACCACACACAGAAGCAAGAAACACCAUAAUGCUGCUACUAAGUUGACAGAAUAAUAUCCUUCAUCCAUAUAAUCAUGAAGUGAUAAUGUUAAAAGAAUUUUAUCACAUAGCCUGUCAUUUUAUAUUAUUAAAUAUAAAUAAACCCAAGUCAGAAAAGUAGGACA